GAGCCGUAGGUGAACCUGCGGCUGGAUCAUUAUCGAGCUUAAAAACAAACCAACGAAGCCCGCGAGGGUUGAGUUCGGUCGGGACAGGCAGAAGGCACGGUGCAUUCGGUUCUGAUGCACGACAGUGUAGUCCCAGUAACCAACGGCACUCGGUUGGUGUCUGCCCUUCGUCUAGCAGCUGUUGCAUUGUCCGUGGCUGUGCGAUGACGGCGUUGGGGGUGCGCAUGCGUCCGUGAAAACCGGGUAGCGUAUGCGAAGACUUAAUGAAUCGGCGCAAAGUCCGAUCGCCAACAAACUUAUUUUUUAACGAAUUUUCUAUGAUCACAAACAAACAUAUCAGUCUUACCGGUGGAUCACUCGGUUCGU
rnacentral:misc_RNA from 1 species